rnacentral:lncRNA from 1 species
CUCCAGGAAUCUCUCAGGGUGAAUAGGAUCUCAGGCUGGGGGAAGCUGUGCUGCUCCUGAUGUGGAUAUCAGUGUUGGUGAUCCUACAGUCUGCACCAGACAAGGCAAAAAGACUUUUUGCAUAUCAGUGCCAGAUUCAGAAGUGUUUGACAAGAGCCUGUGAGUCAGCAGCUUUGCUAGAACACCUGCUGUCAGCAGGAGAUGCUCCUGGAAGCAAACCUGAAGGAGGAGAAAUGCUGCAUCAGGAGCACUUAACUUCAGGUGCUGAAAAUGGGCACAGAGGCAAUGGGUAUAGGCAUUUUGGCCUGUUCCAACGUGGAUGUUGGAUGAAAUUCCAUGCCCCAAGCUUUGUGUCAGAAGUGCCUCCCUGGUAGCAGGAGAGCUUGGAAUUAGAAGUGAGGAGUGUAGAGGAGGGUGCUGCCUGAGGCUGAGGCAUUCCCCUUUGAAAGCAGGUACACUUUUCUUCCAGCCUAACUUCCUUUCAAAAAGAAAGGGAGGGAUAUCUGAUUGCCUUAGCAAGGGCGACACUGUCAGAUUGACUUUAGAAUUGUCUUUGAUGUUUUAUUGUCCUUAGGAUAUAAAUCAGACGAGGAUUUGUUAAAAAAUAGCUAAGCUGUCUGUGUAUUGUUUCCUUUAAUAUUUCAGUGCUAUUGUGUGCAAAAUUUUGUGUCAAAAUUUUAGAGGAGUGUUUGGCUAUGUAGGAUUUACCCUGUGGAUUAGGAUGCCCUUAAUUUCAUUUUGGAGUUAAUGAGCUGGGAGAGACUCCCUCCUGCUGUGGUGCAAAACCUUUCAGGCUAGGAAGAGGAUGCUGCCUGGGCUGCCAGCAGUGCCUUUGGUGAGUGGUACAAUUGGCAAAACCCCCUCUGUAUGCCUCAAUUUCCAGAACUGAAGUGGGGAACAGCUCUUUGCACUCCUACCCCAUAGCAACAGAAUGUCAAAUAACCAACAGUAAUUAUCCAGAACCUGGGAAGGGGCAGAAACUGUUACCUUUGCAGAAAAAAUGAUAGUUGAAUUAAUUUUGCUGAUUGGGAUGUUUAUUUCAUACAUGUCACAUUUAAAGGAGGUAUUUUUGAUAUGUGUCCACUUCCAAGCAGUGUAUGUGCCUCGUGUGGAAUGCUCUAGAAAGUCCCUGAGAUGCUGUCACACCCAGCACAAGUGACAAGGUGAUGCUGAGAGUACACACAGCAAUCCGUGCUCCAACUCCAGGCUUAAAUGAGGGGGAAAAACCUGGAAGAGGGUGACAUGGCCUUGCUUUUUGGAGAUGACCUCUGAUAACCAAAGGGAGCUGGGGCUCUGGGAACUUGGUAGAGGAAUUCACGUGGGAAAAGCCAGAUAUGGGCAGGGAAUGUAAAUGAGCACUGCGCCUUCCUAACAUGAUUUGUUCAGCCUCUUGGAAAAUUUGGGAGAUUGUAAUGAGUAUUAUUUGAUUACAUUUUCUAGACAAUAUCCCACUGACUUUGUUUAUUAGUUUUGGAAUUUGAUUUGUAUUUAUAGCGAAGUGUCUACCCUGCUAUCUUAGCACUUGAUAGCAACUAAAAUGCAAACAGCAGAAAUUAUCAUAAUAAAUGUUUACAGCUUUUUGUCA